rnacentral:rRNA from 1 species
GACAGAGGGUGCAAACGUUGUUCGGAAUUACUGAGCGUAAAGCGUGUGUAGGUGGCCGCGCAAGUCGGAUGUGAAAGCCCUGGGCUCAACUCAGGAAGUGCACCCGAUACUGCGUGGCUCGAGUACCGGAGAGGUUGGUGGAAUUCUCGGUGUAGAGGUGAAAUUCGUAGAUAUCGAGAGGAACACCUGUGGCGAAGGCGGCCAACUGGACGAGUACUGACACUGAGACGCGAAAGCGUGGGGAGCAAACAGG